rnacentral:rRNA from 1 species
UACGGAGGGUGCAAGCGUUAAUCGGAAUUACUGGGCGUAAAGCGUGCGUAGGCGGUUCGUUAAGUCUGUUGUGAAAGCCCCGGGCUCAACCUGGGAAUGGCAAUGGAUACUGGCGAGCUAGAGUGUGUCAGAGGAUGGUGGAAUUCCCGGUGUAGCGGUGAAAUGCGUAGAUAUUUGGGAAGAACACCGAUGGCGAAGGCAGCCAUCUGGACCGACACUGACGCUGAGGCGCGAAAGCGUGGGGAGCAAACAGG